rnacentral:rRNA from 1 species
GAGUUUGAUCCUGCCUCAGAGCGUACGCUGGCGGCAGGCUUAACACAUGCAAGUCGAACGGGCUUCUUCGGAAGUCAGUGGCAGACGGGUGAGUAACACGUGGGAACGUGCCCUGCGGUUCGGAAUAACUCAGGGAAACUUGAGCUAAUACCGGAUACGCCCUUAUGGGGAAAGGUUUACUGCCGAAGGAUCGGCCCGCGUCUGAUUAGCUUGUUGGUGGGGUAACGGCCUACCAAGGCGACGAUCAGUAGCUGGUCUGAGAGGAUGAUCAGCCACACUGGGACUGAGACACGGCCCAGACUCCUACGGGAGGCAGCAGUGGGGAAUAUUGGACAAUGGGCGCAAGCCUGAUCCACCCAUGCCGCGUGAGUGAUGAAGGCCUUAUGGUUGUACAGCUCUUUUGUCCGGGACGAUAAUGACGGUACCGGAAGAAUAAGCCCCGGCUAACUUCGUGCCAGCAGCCGCGGUAAUACGAAGGGGGCUAGCGUUGCUCGGAAUCACUGGGCGUAAAGGGCGCGUAGGCGGCCGAUUAAGUCGGGGGUGAAAGUCUGUGGCUCAACCACAGAAUUGCCUUCGAUACUGGUUGGCUUGAGACCGGAAGAGGACAGCGGAACUGCGAGUGUAGAGGUGAAAUUCGUAGAUAUUCGCAAGAACACCAGUGGCGAAGGCGGUUGUCUGGUCCGGUUCUGACGCUGAGGCGCGAAAGCGUGGGGAGCAAACAGGAUUAUAUCCCCUGG